rnacentral:lncRNA from 1 species
UAGAGCAUUUAAUAAAAUAGCCAUUUAUUAUCAGCAUCAGCUCUCAAAUACAUUGUAACACUAAAAUGAGGGCACACCAUCUCCAAAUAAGACGAUCUUUAAAUGAGCUUUUAUACAAAACUCACUAUGCUGUCCUUUUUGGUCAUUUUUCCUUGGACUAAUGAUAACUUUGGCCUGAGCUGGCUAGGCUUCCAAUUAUGAAUGUGGCUAUUCUAGUGAGAAGGAAUGAGAUGGGGGAAGAGUAUCAAGUUGACCUGAAGGCUAUGCUGUUUCUUUCUGCUCCAGUGAUGCCUUCUAGCUCUAAAUCCUUCAAUUUUUCAACUGCCAUCUCUCUUAUUAAAUGGGUUUAAUAAUAAAAGAUAACCUGAGAUCCAUGGAGCACUGGGUACAGUGCUGAAAAUGUUCAUCAGACCGUGAUGCUGCUGAUCCCUGCCCUCAUGACUAUGGGUAAAUUAACAUUGAACUUUGGACAUGAAGAUGACUAAUUUUUGGAGGGAGAUAACCCUAUAUCAAAUUGUUAUUGUCAUAGAACAUGGAUUUAGUUGCUUAUGAAAAUAUAAAAACAUGUAUUUAAGCUGUUGAGUUACAAUUUUAAAGAAAACCAACACCCUAAAAUAUUUUUUUUCACAUAUAGAGAACUCACUUUGAAAAUGUUUUUGUAUCUUAACUGGAGUUUGUGAUAAUCUAGAUUGUUCACAAUGACUGUGACACCUUGUCCCAUUUCUUAGCAUCUUUUUCAUAUUUUCCAUCUAUCCCUGAAACUAAUGUCCUGCAUUUUUCAACAGGACCUCAGGAAUCUGUAACUAAGCACCAUGGAACUCCAAAAUGCUUUUGGUCCUGGAAAGGUGAAGACCUUGAUCCUAGCUAUUUAGCAUGAAUUACACACUAUCCUUAAUCUCAACAGAUUUGUGAAAAGACACAAAAAGUAAUGAGGACCAAAAAAAAAAUUCUUUCACUGUUAUAUUGCUUCAUAUGACAUCAUUUUGUUAUCUUCCUUCUUUAUUUUUUAAAAAGAUUUAUUAAGUGAGCAGGAAAAUACAUGAUUGAACAAAUGGAAACUACAGGGUGUGCCCUUUACAAGACUGAGUGAAACAACAGAUUAAUCAGAAGGCAUGUGUCAAUUUUCUACAAUGAAACUUCAUGCAACAUUCAGUGGAGCUGAAUAUAUACAGAUGUUAGAGGCUUCCCAGGGAGGCAGAAUUGUUGUCCUUGGAAGAUUGUUAAGACCCAAAUGUCAUUAGGCUGUCUUCAAGCUGCAUUUGGCAGGAGGAUACUUUCACUGUUGUUUAUUUCUUGUUUCAGAAAAAAAAAAUUGUUUUUUUAAACAUUUAGACCAGAAAACAAAAUUCAGAAUCCCCACCCACAUCCAAUAACUGCAUUUAUUGCAAUGCCAAUAGCUUAAAAUGGAUCAUUAUCUGUAAAAAUGUAAGAGUUUUGAAAUACUGCUUUUCUCAUGGUUCUAUAUGACAGCCCUUCUUACGUUCCUGCAACUUGGCCUGUUAGGAUGAUUCAUGGAGCAAGAAAGUAUAGCCAGGGUCAUAGCCCGGUGUCUUCCAUCCACAAUAGCCUUCCAGGAAAGAAAAUCUGUAGGGUUUUCUAUUUUCUAUAUGACAUAAAACCUAUGCUUUUAUGAUAUAAACUUUGGAGACAGUGUUUUUUUUUUUUUGAAACUGAAAUUAAUCAUAUAGUUUUUUACCCUUUAAAAAAUUCCAAAGCUCUGUUAUUAUUUUCAUUCAUUCUUUCAUCCAACAGAUAUUUACUGAGUGACUAAUAUUUGCCAAGCAUUCUUCAAAGCACUGGAGACGGACCAGUAAGCAAAGUAUAUGGUGAUAAGUACUGUGAAAGGCAAUGAAGCAGAAAAUGAGUGGGGGGAUGAGAAGUUAUUUGACACAGGUCUCUGACAGUACAGGAAUAUUUGUACAGAGACCUGAAGGGAGGGAGUCAGCUAUGUAGGCAUAUGGGGGAAGUUUUGAGACUGAGAGACAGCAAGGACAAAGACUCUGAGACAGAACAUGCUUUGAGGGUGUUCUGGGUGAAGGAAGGAGGCCAGUGUGACUUUAGCAAAGUGACAAAAGAAAUAGAUGAGGUCAGAGAAGUGGCAGUGGCGGCUGAGGUGGGGCCAAAAGUAGGACAGAUUAUCACAAUGCCCUUCUAGGCCACUGUAAGGAUGUUGACAUUCCAGGUGAGAUGGGAAGGCAUUGAGGGACUAGCAGAAAAGUAGCAUAACCUGGAAUAUGUUUUAACACCAUCAUAUCAGGCAAGAAGUGGCUUGGACCCAGAGUGGAUUGUGGAUAUAUUCUGAAACUAGGGAAAACAGGAUUAAAAAAGAAAUGGAUUCGAUGUGGUAUGUGAAAGUGAAAAAUAAAGGAUAACGAGAUUUUCUGGUGUGAAGGAAUAGAGCUGCCAUUUACUGGCACAGGGAGGAUUGCAAUGGGAGUUCAGUAGUACCCCCUUAUCUGAGGGGGAGUUUGAAGACCCACUGUGGAUGCCAGAAACUGUGGAUAAUACUGAACCCUAUACAUACUAUUUUUUUUCCUAUCUAUACAUACUUCUGAUAAAGUUUAAUGUAUAAAUUAGGCACAGUACUCUUGCACUUUGGGGCCAUUAAGUAAAAUAAGGGUUACUUGAACACACGCACUGUGAUACCAUGACAGUCUAUCUGAUAACCAAGAUGGCUACAAAGUGACUAAGGGGAAGGUGAUGUUUACAGCAUCGAUACGCUGGACAAAGGGAUGAUUCAUGUCCUGAGUGGGGUGUAGCAGGAUGGAGCAAGACUGCAUUACACUAUUCAUAACGGUGCACAAUUUAAAACUUAGGAAUUAUUUCUGGAAUUUUCAAUUUAAUAUUUUUAGACUGCAGAUAAUCGCAGGUAACUAAAACCAAGGAAAAUGAAACCAUGAAUAAGAGGAAUACUGUGUAUUGAUUGGUGAACAUGUCAAGUUUGAGAUGCCAAUGACACAUCCAAAUGAAGGUGCUUCAUAGGAAAUUAGUUAAAUUGUAUGCCAGUUUUAUUUGGCAUUCAGGGAAGAGGUUGGGUCUGGAGAUUAAAAUGUGGGUGUUGUAAGUGUAUAGUUUUUAAAGCCCCAGGACUGGGAGAGAUCACUUAGAGGGGGAUGCCUAGGACUGGGGCACUCCAAGAAGUCAGCCAAGGAGAUUGAGAAGCAGUGGCCAGGAAGGUGAGAGAACAUGAGAAAGAUGCCCCAGAACUGAGAAAGCAUUUCAAGAAGGAAGUAAUUAUUAACUAUGUCAAAGACUGCAGAUAACUCAAGCAGCAUGAAGCCAGAGACCUAACCAUUGCAUUUGAAAGCAUGGAGGUCGCUGGUGUCCUUAGCAAGAGCUGCUGUGGUAGAGAUGAAAGCCUGAUUUGAGUUGGUUCAAAAGACCAAGGGAGGAGAGAAAUUUAGGACAGUAAGUAUACACAGUUCCCCCUAGAGAGUUUUUCUGUGAAGAGAAACAGAUAAAUAAGAUGGUAGUUACGUUACCGAAACACUAGGUUUGGUCUAGGUCCUGCUGCUUGCCACACAGAAAGCCAAUCACUGAGAUGACAAGUAUUGCCAAGAAAGUAGGCUUUGGUUUGGUCGGGUGCUGCGGCCAAGGAGAUGGGAGCUUAGUCUCAAAUCCAUCUCCCUGACUGACCAAAACUAGGCAUUUAUAUAGCAGGGAAGAAAUGUAACAAUGUGUAAGAAAACAGGAACUAAGGAGGGGCAAGAAGGCAUCUGGUGCUAUGAUCUGUUGAGUUCCAGUUCUUUGAUACUUUUUUGAGAGGCCUGAAGGAAAACAAAUACAAGUUUCAAGCUUUAACAGCAAAAGGGUCAGUUUCUAUGUUUAUCCAAAAACAACUGUCUAUGGGACUAUUGGGCCGUUUCAGUUAGACAGGGUAAUGGGGCCAAGGAGGGUGUUGAAGACCGGAGAUACUGCAGCAUACAGAACACAGCGAGAUACACUGCAGAAUACAAUUAAACUCAAAAUACAGUGAAAUAGAAUAGGGGAUGCAGAAGAGAGGAUUCGGUUUCUGGGGCAAUGAUCUUUAUUUGGUGAGGUUGAAUGGGAUUUACCUAGAGCAAAUAAGAAUUGUCUGCUAUCACUUAAGGAGCUGAUGUAGUAAUUAGCAAUGAUAAGUUUCACUGGUCAAGAUCAGGGAACCAAGAAGCCAGGGUAUUUGUAGGACUGUCUUAAGUGGAUAUUGAAAUAAUCAAGAAUGAUGACAGGGUGGUGGUAAAGAGAGCAACAGUGAGCCAAAACCUAAAAUUCUUGAGCAAUGAGAAGGAGUAAAAGAGGGUAAUGUAGGGACUUGGGAGGCUGAUGUCAACAGCUUCAAAACAAUGAGUGUUCAGGAGGAGGAAAGGAGAAUAGUUUGGAAGUGGCAAUGAGGAACAAGGAGGCAUCCUACGAUUAAUGUUUUAUUAUUCAUAUUUUGACAAAGAUAGCAUAUUAUAUUCCAGGACAUGGUAGUUACCAUGUGGGGAAACCUAUCAAAGCAUUUUUAAUGACUGCUUAGAAUAACUGUAGAAAGUACUUUCUCAAUGAUUUUUGUAUGCAAGAAAAAAAAUACCUGAAAGUAACCAAAAGUUUCAGACUGGAAAAUAUGCCAGGAAGAUUUUCUUCUCUCAUUCUCAGGUGAGGUUAUAAUCCAGUUUUAGCAAAUGUUUGACAAUUUAAAAUACUUUUGAAAACUGGAGAUUUAAAAAAUGUAAACAAUUGUAGGCACAGCAAAAUCGUAGUUUUCCCUUCUGAUAUUAUACAUUUGGCAUCUCUCUACAGUUAUAUUAACAUAAAUAAGGCAGCUAAAACGUUCAAAAAUAGUUUUACAACAUUCAAUUUUAAAAUUUCAUUCAAGCUGUAAUCUUUUGUUUCCUGCUGCCACCUAACAUUUGAAGUUUUGAUUCAGGGUAAUGUCCAAGGUUUCUUAAACAUACCAUAAUAAGUAUUACUAUUCCUUAACAUUUAUCCCAGGGGAAGAGAUAAGGGAAAGGGGUAGCUGGGCAUGAUAUUUACAGUGUACAAAUAAUGAUCCAUUGCCAGAAAUGAAAACUCACCUUUCCACCAGCAUUUGCUCAGCCUCAAUAGUGCAAUGCAACUUGGUGCUGAUAAAAAUAAACCAUUAAAACCAAACCCUAUCAUGCAAGGAGUGAGUUUGAAGAUAUGUACACAAACUCAAAAAUCUGUAAACUUUAGGACAUUUUUAUUUUUAACUGUAUUUUCUACUUUUCAUCCAAACAUUUGUCAUCAUGGACUCAGAAGAAUCCAAGAUUUUGAUCUAGAUUUAAAAUAACUCAAACAUUACCCAGGGAUUUUUGUUUAAAAAUGCUUUUAUGGGGAUUUUUAUUUUGGUAUAUUCUGGCACUUCCUGGAAUGGCAGGUCUAGAAGAAUAAAGUCCAAAGCACAGGGUUAUGAUCUCACACUGUUUAAUGCUAAGCAAACUGUUGAAUAUUCUAGUUAUCAAUGGAAGAAUUCCCAGAAUAAUGGUGUAGAAAUAAAAACAACCUAGAAAAUGUUUGGUAGGAAUAUACAAAUUGUCAGUUUUGAACUUGCAAAUUCUCAAGAGGUUUUCUUCUUUGCUGGGACUCCUGAAAAGUGAUCAAUUUUACACCCAAUUUAUUUAAGAUCCAUGAAAGGACAGCUUACUUUAGGGUUCCUGAUAUAUAGUGACCAAGGAGAUAUAGUGGCAUUUAUGAGAAAUAUUAGCAGGUAAAUUAAAUCAAAUUUAGACUUUUGGAUUUUAGAUUUAUGUUACAACUAUGUAGUCUCAGGGGAGGUCAGUUUUUGGUUGGUUGGUUAUGUUUUGCUUGAUUUGGUUAGAUUUAAAUUUUGAAGAAUGAACUAAAAGGUAACUAACAAGUUAGAGACUGUUGAAAUGAUCAGAACAUGGUACCAGUGGUGAUUCUGGAAUAUAAAGAGCAUAGUAGCAUCAUUCAGAAUUGUUAUCAGCAUGCUGUGGAUUUUCUCAUGUUUUCCUGCAGUAGGUUAAAAUUAAAAGUUUUAUCAAUAACUAUUUUUUUUCUUAAAAAUAAUGUAGCACAUCUUACAUCUUAAAGCAAUCAGCACAAAUGCAAGUGAUGCCUGUUCAAGCAGACUUUCAAAGACAGCACACACUGUUAACACAAAGAGCUCUUCCACGUUUCAAGAAUACAGUGACGGGAACUGGUACACAUAGUAGUAGGGAAAGCAUUUUUUUAAAAGCUUCGUGGAAUGUGAGACUUUAGCCCCUUCCUUUCCUGGCAGUGGAUAAAACCAAAAUGGUUCUGGCUGGAAUUUCACAUCUUUCUAAUAAUCUACUGGACAGGAGGGACCAGAGACACCAAUUACCAAUGAGUCACAAGAACAGACAAAAAUUGUUAGUAGGUUUUGACAACCAGGAACUAAGGUGUUUUUAAAAAACAUGUACUUGAUGCAAAGUAUAUUAGGAGUGCACCCUAGAAAACAAUGUCAAAGUGUUAGAAAAAUGGAGCCCCUGUCCAGGUGACCUUGUGAGAUUUCACCCAUAACUUAAUAUACCCUGUUUAAUAAAAAUAAUAGUUCUAGGUCUUCUUGAAGGAUUGUUUAGAAGUCUCCAAGAAAAAUAAUGAGAUCUAUCUAAAAUAGAGCUGUUCAAUUUUAUGUGGAACUUAGUGAAGGCUGUCUUCAUUUGCAUUGUGUGUUAUGACAGUGGUCUGGCUGGAACUGGCAGGGGGAAGAGCCUCAUUAUUUGAAGGAACUUCACUGGUCAUCCAUUCCUACCACCACUGGAUGCAGGAAUCCAUGCUACAGUAUCUUUGACUGGCACCCAGGAAUGAUGGUCACCUGCCAGACCCCAGACCCAGACUAUGGUGUGGGCAGGCUCAGUAGAUUUUACUGGAUGAUUAUUAAUUUAGAGCAGUAAGAACUGGCAGAUCUAGUGAAACUUACUCUGAGGGGAGGGCUCAGUUUCUCCAGUUUCUCUUUGUAGGAAAAUAAAAAUAAAAUGAGCCAAUUUCUAGAGACAAAAUCACCUAUAAAAAGAUCAGAACUGAAGAUUUUUUUUGUUGAGAUGCUAUAAAAAUGGAUGAAAAGCAACCGUUCCUCCCCUACCCCCAAAAAGAAUUAAGGCAAUUCAGAAAGUUUGGAUGAGCCACAAGGACACCAUUCUGACGUAUUCUGCAUGUUCUAGGCCUCCUUAUGUCAGGGCUGGGGUCUGUCUUGCUGGAGGAAAAUUUAUUUUUGAAGAUAAAAGCUUCAGUGAAUUCUUUAAAUAUCUGUCUUUUAAAGAGCACAGAUUUCUGGGGGGCCCAUUUAAAUUUGGAUUUGC